CCUACGGGUGGCAGCAGUCGGGAAUAUUGGGCAAUGGGCGCAAGCCUGACGCAGCAACGCCGCGUGAAGGAAGAAGGCUUUCGGGUUGUAAACUUCUGUUCUCAGGGACGAAGCAAGUGACGAUACGUGAGGAAUGAGCCACGGCUAACUACGUGCCAGCAGCCGCGGUUAUACGUAGGGGGCAAGCGUUAUCCGGAUUUACUGGGUGUAAAGUGCGUGUAGGCGGGAAAGCAAGUCAGAUGUGAACACCCUGGGCUCAACUUGUGAACUGCAUUUAAAACUUUUUUUCUUGAGUACUGGAGAGGAAGACGGAAUUCCUAGUGUAGCGGUGAAAUGCGUAGAUAUUAGGAGGAACACCAGUGGCGAAGGCGGUCUUCUGGACAGUAACUGACGCUGAGGCGCGAAAGCGUGGGGAGCAAACAGGAUUAGAUACCCGGGUAGUC
rnacentral:rRNA from 1 species